GCCCUACGGGGUGCAGCAGUCGCGAAAACUUUGCAAUACACGAAAGUGUGACAGGGCUAUCCCGAGUGCCAUCCGCUGAGGAAGGCUUUUACCCAGUCUAGAACGCUGGGGGAAUAAGGAGAGGGCAAGUCUGGUGUCAGCCGCCGCGGUAAAAU
rnacentral:rRNA from 1 species